UUUGGUUAAGUUAGAAAGGGCGCACGGUGGAUGCCUUGACACUAGGAGUCGAUGAAGGACGGGACUAACGCCGAUAUGCUUCGGGGAGCUGUAAGUAAGCUUUGAUCCGAAGAUUUCCGAAUGGGGAAACCCACCAUACGUAAUGGUAUGGUAUCCUUAUCUGAAUACAUAGGGUAAGGAAGACAGACCCAGGGAACUGAAACAUCUAAGUACCUGGAGGAAGAGAAAGCAAAUGCGAUUUCCUGAGUAGCGGCGAGCGAAACGGAACAUAGCCCAAACCAAGAGGCUUGCCUCUUGGGGUUGUAGGACAUUCUAUACGGAGUUACAAAGGAACGAGGUAGACGAAGCGACCUGGAAAGGUCCGUCGUAGAGGGUAACAACCCCGUAGUCGAAACUUCGUUCUCUCUUGAAUGUAUCCUGAGUACGGCGGAACACGUGAAAUUCCGUCGGAAUCUGGGAGGACCAUCUCCCAAGGCUAAAUACUCCCUAGUGAUCGAUAGUGAACCAGUACCGUGAGGGAAAGGUGAAAAGCACCCCGGAAGGGGAGUGAAAGAGAUCCUGAAACCGUGUGCCUACAAAUAGUCAGAGCCCGUUAACGGGUGAUGGCGUGCCUUUUGUAGAAUGAACCGGCGAGUUACGAUCCCGUGCGAGGUUAAGCUGAAGAGGCGGAGCCGCAGCAAAAGCGAGUCUGAAUAGGGCGUUUAGUACGUGGUCGUAGACCCGAAACCAGGUGAUCUACCCAUGUCCAGGGUGAAGUUCAGGUAACACUGAAUGGAGGCCCGAACCCACGCACGUUGAAAAGUGCGGGGAUGAGGUGUGGGUAGCGGAGAAAUUCCAAUCGAACCUGGAGAUAGCUGGUUCUCCCCGAAAUAGCUUUAGGGCUAGCCUUAAGUGUAAGAGUCUUGGAGGUAGAGCACUGAUUGGACUAGGGGUCCUCAUCGGAUUACCGAAUUCAGUCAAACUCCGAAUGCCAAUGACUUAUCCUUAGGAGUCAGACUGCGAGUGAUAAGAUCCGUAGUCAAAAGGGAAACAGCCCAGACCGCCAGCUAAGGUCCCAAAGUGUGUAUUAAGUGGAAAAGGAUGUGGAGUUGCUUAGACAACUAGGAUGUUGGCUUAGAAGCAGCCACCAUUUAAAGAGUGCGUAAUAGCUCACUAGUCGAGUGACUCUGCGCCGAAAAUGUACCGGGGCUAAAUACACCACCGAAGCUGCGGAUUGAUACCAAUGGUAUCAGUGGUAGGGGAGCGUUCUAAGGACAGUGAAGUCAGACCGUAAGGACUGGUGGAGUGCUUAGAAGUGAGAAUGCCGGUAUGAGUAGCGAAAGACGGGUGAGAAUCCCGUCCACCGAAUGCCUAAGGUUUCCUGAGGAAGGCUCGUCCGCUCAGGGUUAGUCAGGACCUAAGCCGAGGCCGACAGGCGUAGGCGAUGGACAACAGGUUGAUAUUCCUGUACCACCUCUUUAUCGUUUGAGCAAUGGAGGGACGCAGAAGGAUAGAAGAAGCGUGCGAUUGGUUGUGCACGUCCAAGCAGUUAGGCUGAUAAGUAGGCAAAUCCGCUUAUCAUAAAGGCUGAGCUGUGAUGGGGAAGCUCCUUAUGGAGCGAAGUCUUUGAUUCCCCGCUGCCAAGAAAAGCUUCUAGCGAGAUAAAAGGUGCCUGUACCGCAAACCGACACAGGUAGGCGAGGAGAGAAUCCUAAGGUGUGCGAGAGAACUCUGGUUAAGGAACUCGGCAAAAUGACCCCGUAACUUCGGGAGAAGGGGUGCUUUCUUAACGGAAAGCCGCAGUGAAUAGGCCCAAGCGACUGUUUAGCAAAAACACAGCUCUCUGCGAAGCCGUAAGGCGAAGUAUAGGGGGUGACACCUGCCCGGUGCUGGAAGGUUAAGGAGAGGGGUUAGCGUAAGCGAAGCUCUGAACUGAAGCCCCAGUAAACGGCGGCCGUAACUAUAACGGUCCUAAGGUAGCGAAAUUCCUUGUCGGGUAAGUUCCGACCCGCACGAAAGGUGUAACGAUUUGGGCACUGUCUCAACCAGAGACUCGGUGAAAUUAUAGUACCUGUGAAGAUGCAGGUUACCCGCGACAGGACGGAAAGACCCCGUGGAGCUUUACUGUAGCCUGAUAUUGAAUUUUGGUACAGUUUGUACAGGAUAGGCGGGAGCCAUUGAAACCGGAGCGCUAGCUUCGGUGGAGGCGCUGGUGGGAUACCGCCCUGACUGUAUUGAAAUUCUAACCUACGGGUCUUAUCGACCCGGGAGACAGUGUCAGGUGGGCAGUUUGACUGGGGCGGUCGCCUCCUAAAGUGUAACGGAGGCGCCCAAAGGUUCCCUCAGAAUGGUUGGAAAUCAUUCGUAGAGUGCAAAGGCAUAAGGGAGCUUGACUGCGAGACCUACAAGUCGAGCAGGGACGAAAGUCGGGCUUAGUGAUCCGGUGGUUCCGCAUGGAAGGGCCAUCGCUCAACGGAUAAAAGCUACCCCGGGGAUAACAGGCUUAUCUCCCCCAAGAGUCCACAUCGACGGGGAGGUUUGGCACCUCGAUGUCGGCUCAUCGCAUCCUGGGGCUGUAGUCGGUCCCAAGGGUUGGGCUGUUCGCCCAUUAAAGCGGUACGCGAGCUGGGUUCAGAACGUCGUGAGACAGUUCGGUCCCUAUCCGUCGUGGGCGUAGGAAAUUUGAGAGGAGCUGUCCUUAGUACGAGAGGACCGGGAUGGACGCACCGCUGGUGUACCAGUUGUUCUGCCAAGGGCAUAGCUGGGUAGCUAUGUGCGGAAGGGAUAAGUGCUGAAAGCAUCUAAGCAUGAAGCCCCCCUCAAGAUGAGAUUUCCCAUAGCGUAAGCUAGUAAGAUCCCUGAAAGAUGAUCAGGUUGAUAGGUUCGAGGUGGAAGCAUGGUGACAUGUGGAGCUGACGAAUACUAAUAGAUCGAGGACUUAACCAUAUAA
rnacentral:rRNA from 1 species